AUGGAUUGUUCAAAUCAAAAUAUUCUAUGCUGGAACGUUAGGGGUCUCAAUGAUAAGGUCUGGCGUGUUGCAGUAUGCGAGAUGGUCAUUGCUUCUCGUGCUUCUAUUGUGUGUCUUCAAGAAACAAAAAUCUCAGAUUUUGAUGCCUUUCUAGUUGCUCAAUGCAUGGGUCCGAGGCUGGAUGGGUUUGCUUUUCCGCCGGCUAAUGGAACUCGUGGAGGAAUUCUUAUAGCAUGA
rnacentral:rRNA from 1 species